AUUGAACGCUGGCGGCAGGCCUAACACAUGCAAGUCGAGCGGAUGAAGGGAGCUUGCUCCUGGAUUCAGCGGCGGACGGGUGAGUAAUGCCUAGGAAUCUGCCUGGUAGUGGGGGAUAACGUCCGGAAACGGGCGCUAAUACCGCAUACGUCCUGAGGGAGAAAGUGGGGGAUCUUCGGACCUCACGCUAUCAGAUGAGCCUAGGUCGGAUUAGCUAGUUGGUGGGGUAAAGGCCUACCAAGGCGACGAUCCGUAACUGGUCUGAGAGGAUGAUCAGUCACACUGGAACUGAGACACGGUCCAGACUCCUACAGGAGGCAGCAGUGGGGAAUAUUGGACAAUGGGCGAAAGCCUGAUCCAGCCAUGCCGCGUGUGUGAAGAAGGUCUUCGGAUUGUAAAGCACUUUAAGUUGGGAGGAAGGGCAGUAAGUUAAUACCUUGCUGUUUGGACGUUACCAACAGAAUAAGCACCGGCUAACUUCGU
rnacentral:rRNA from 1 species